rnacentral:RNase_P_RNA from 2 species
GGAGUUGGCCUGACAGUCGCCGCCGACCUGGUUGUCGGGGGAGGAAAGUCCGGGCUCCAUAGGGCAGGGUGCCAGGUAACGCCUGGGCGGCGUGAGCCGACGGAAAGUGCAGCAGAGAGCAGACCGCCUAAGCAGCUUCGGCUGCCGGUAAGGGUGAAAGGGUGCGGUAAGAGCGCACCGCGCGCCUGGUAACAGUGCGUGGCACGGUAAACCCCACCUGGAGCAAGACCAAAUAGGAACCCAUGGGCGUGGCCCGCGCUGGGUUCGGGUAGGUCGCUGGAGGACCGUGGUGACGCGGUUCCUAGAUGAAUGACUGUCCACGACAGAACCCGGCUUACCGGCCGACUCCCCCC